rnacentral:rRNA from 1 species
AACGAACGCUGGCGGCGUGCUUAAUACAUGCAAGUCGAAACGUGAAGUCUUCAGCAAUGGAGAUGGAAAAGUGGCGAACGGGUGAGGUAACACGUAAGUAAAUCUGCCUCUAAGACUGGGAUAACCUUGCCAACGCGGGGGCUAAUACCGGGAUGUGGUCCCGAUAAUGCAUAUUGUCGGGAUUAAGGGAGCGAUCCGCUUAGAGAUGAGCUUGCGGCCCAUUAGCUAGUUGGUGCGGGUAAUGGCCCACCAAGGCUGCGAUGGGUAGCCGGCCUGAGAGGGUGAUCGGCCACAUUGGGACUGAGAUACGGCCCAGACUCCUACGGGAGGCAGCAGUAGGGAAUUUUGCGCAAUGGGCGAAAGCCUGACGCAGCAACGCCGCGUGAGGGAUGACGGCCUUCGGGUUGUAAACCUCUGUUGAGUGGGAAAAAAGGGUAGCAAUACUUUGAUGGUACCAUUCGAGUAAGCACCGGCUAACUACGUG